UACGUAGGGUGCAAGCGUUAAUCGGAAUUACUGGGCGUAAAGCGUGCGCAGGCGGUUCGGAAAGAGAGGUGUGAAAUCCCAGGGCUUAACCUUGGAACUGCACUUCUAACUACCGGGCUAGAGUACGUCAGAGGGGGGUAGAAUUCCACGUGUAGCAGUGAAAUGCGUAGAGAUGUGGAGGAAUACCGAUGGCGAAGGCAGCCCCCUGGGAUAAUACUGACGCUCAGGCACGAAAGCGUGGGGAGCAAACAGG
rnacentral:rRNA from 1 species